rnacentral:lncRNA from 1 species
GACAUCAAAGCAGCCCAGACUGCAGAUUGGUGCAAGUGGUGUGAACAGAAUUCCAGCUGCAUCUGCUAUCUUUAGGCAACCAACAGCUUGCAGGCCUCGGAGCUACACCAUGCAAAUUGCACCUGUGUUCGUGCCGGGCUCACAGAGAGAAGUCAACAAAUGUCUGCUGGAAGAAUAAGAGAAUGAAUGAACAAUGUUGUUCCUCUUGGAUUUCCCAGCUGGCUGGACUCCUGGGCAGGUCUUUGAAUUCGCCCUGCAGACCCCGUUGUGUUGCUUCCCUUGGCUCUUCAGAACAAAAGAGUAUACAAAAGUGC